AUUGAACGCUGGCGGCAGGCCUAACACAUGCCAGUCGAGCGGAUGAAGGGAGCUUGCUCCUGGAUUCAGCGGCGGACGGGUGAGUAAUGCCUAGGAAUCUGCCUGGUAGUGGGGGAUAACGUCCGGAAACGGGCGCUAAUACCGCAUACGUCCUGAGGGAGAAAGUGGGGGAUCUUCGGACCUCAAGCUAUCAGAUGAGCCUAGGUCGGAUUAGCUAGUUGGUGGGGUAAAGGCCUACCAAGGCGACGAUCCGUAACUGGUCUGAGAGGAUGAUCAGUCACACUGGAACUGAGACACGGUCCAGACUCCUACGGGAGGCAGCAGUGGGGAAUAUUGGACAAUGGGCGAAAGCCUGAUCCAGCCAUGCCGCGUGUGUGAAGAAGGUCUUCGGAUUGUAAAGCACUUUAAGUUGGGAGGAAGGGCAGUAAGUUAAUACCUUGCUGUUUUGACGUUACCAACAGAAUAAGCACCGGCUAACUUCGUG
rnacentral:rRNA from 1 species